UUGAAUGACUUUGCUCCCUUUUCCCACAC
rnacentral:piRNA from 1 species